rnacentral:rRNA from 1 species
GUGCCAGCCGCCGCGGUAAUACGUAGGGUGCGAGCGUUAAUCGGAAUUACUGGGCGUAAAGCGUGCGCAGGCGGUUGUGUAAGACAGAUGUGAAAUCCCCGAGCUUAACUUGGGAAUUGCAUUUGUGACUGCAUAACUAGAGUGCGUCAGAGGGGGGUGGAAUUCCACGUGUAGCAGUGAAAUGCGUAGAGAUGUGGAGGAACACCAAUGGCGAAGGCAGCCCCCUGGGAUGACACUGACGCUCAUGCACGAAAGCGUGGGGAGCAAACAGGAUUAGAUACCCCCGUAGUCC